CCUACGGGAGGCAGCAGUCGAGAAUCAUUCACAAUGGGGGAAACCCUGAUGGUGCGACGCCGCGUGGGGGAAUGAAGGUCUUCGGAUUGUAAACCCCUGUCAUGUGGGAGCAAAUUAAAAAGAUAGUACCACAAGAGGAAGAGACGGCUAACUCUGUGCCAGCAGCCGCGGUAAUACAGAGGUCUCAAGCGUUGUUCGGAAUCACUGGGCGUAAGGCGUGCGUAGGCUGUUUCGUAAGUCGUGUGUGAAAGGCGCGGGCUCAACCCGCGGACGGCACAUGAUACUGCGAGACUAGAGUAAUGGAGGGGGAACCGGAAUUCUCGGUGUAGCAGUGAAAUGCGUAGAUAUCGAGAGGAACACUCGUGGCGAAGGCGGGUUCCUGGACAUUAACUGACGCUGAGGCACGAAGGCCAGGGGGGCGAAAGGGAUUAGAUACCCCGGUAGUC
rnacentral:rRNA from 1 species